GGUGCGUCCGGGCGGCUGCUGCAAGUGCCACUCAGCGGGUUCCAGCCUCUUUGCUGCACAGACUACAGCGCUGAUGGCGGGCAGGCAGUUCGGCUGGAGCCGGGUGGCUCUUCUCCAGCUCUUCCUUGGUGUUAACCUGAUGGUGAUGCCACCUACCCAGGCCCGGCGUCUGCGUUUCGUUACCUUGCUGUACCGACAUGGAGACCGUUCGCCAGUGAAGACAUACCCCAAGGACCCCUAUCAGGAAGACGAAUGGCCCCAGGGAUUUGGUCAGCUAACCAAGGAGGGGAUGCUACAGCACUGGGAGCUGGGCCAGGCUCUGCGACAGCGCUACCAUGACUUCCUCAACACCUCUUACCACCGGCAAGAGGUUUAUGUGCGAAGUACAGACUUUGACCGGACUCUCAUGAGUGCUGAGGCCAACCUGGCUGGACUCUUCCCUCCCGACGGGAUGCAGCGCUUUAACCCAAACAUCUCUUGGCAGCCUAUCCCCGUCCACACUGUGCCCAUUGCUGAGGACAGGCUGCUGAAGUUCCCAUUGGGCCCAUGUCCCCGUUUUGAACAGCUGCAGAACGAGACCCGGCGGACACCGGAGUAUCAGAAUGAGAGUAUUCAGAAUGCACAAUUUCUGGAUAUGGUGGCCAACGAGACAGGGCUUACGGACCUGACACUGGAGACCAUCUGGAAUGUCUACGACACACUUUUCUGUGAGCAGACACACGGGCUGGUCCUGCCACCCUGGGCCUCGCCCAAAACCAUGCAGCGUCUGAGCCGGCUAAAGGACUUCAGCUUCCGCUUCCUCUUCGGGAUCUACGAGCAGGCAGAGAAGGCCCGGCUGCAGGGGGGAGUCCUGCUGGCUCAGAUACGGAAGAACCUGACCCUGAUGGCAACCACCUCCCAGCUCCCUAAGCUGCUGGUCUACUCUGCGCACGACACCACCCUGGUUGCUCUGCAAAUGGCGUUGGAUGUCUACAAUGGUGAACAAGCCCCCUAUGCGUCCUGCCACAUAUUUGAACUGUACCAGGAAGAUACUGGGAAUUUCUCAGUGGAAAUGUACUUUCGGAAUGAGAGUAACAAGGCCCCCUGGCCGCUGAUCCUGCCUGGCUGCCCUCACCGCUGCCCGCUGCAGGACUUCCUUCGCCUCACAGAGCCUGUUGUGCCCAAGGAUUGGCAGCAGGAGUGCCGGCUGGCAAGCAGUCCUGCAGACACAGCUUCCUCCUGGCUCCAAAUGAGAAUGUGAUAACCUAGGAGGAGUGAGACCAGUCUGACUCGCACCAUCCAUUAUCAGCCUCUGAAAACUUGGGGCUGGUGUGGGGAACCUAGGACUUGGUAAGAUGAAUCCCUGCUUCCUCCCAUUAUUAUUUGAGGGCCCAAGCCUCACCGACAUGAUACCAGAAGAUUCUGGGUCAUACAGCUGAUACAUCAUCUUUCCUGAGCUUCCGUCAAACACAUCGAUCGUCCUUAAUUCAUGGGAGGUACAACUUUUGAAAUUAGGAUCUGGGUAUCGGCCCACGACAAUGAGGUUGUACCGAGGAUGCCAGGUUGCCUAGGAGAUGGAGAGGCAGGUCACAAGAGUAAACGCAGAACACUGUCAAGAGGGACAUCAAAAGUAUCUUUGCCACUAACAACACUUGUUCAUACAACUGCCAACAAUUUAAUAAUGGAGAUAAGACCUACAUGAAACAACAGGAAUGGUUUUCAAGUGCGUGCGCAUCUACCGUUGCAAAUUUAAAAUCCCCAGCUGGCCUCCCUGACCCUUAGGACACCUUCAGGCCUUCUCUCUCCUUUGCAUUUCCUGAGAUCAUACCAACUGAUAAAUGUUUUAACAUCAGCCCGACCCAGACAAGAACCAAAGAGGUAAGCCUACAAAGCGAAAAGCCUCCGGUAAGCAAAACCAAAUAGGACCUAAUAAGUUCUGAAGUAAUCCCACUACUCUCCCUCCUCCAUCAAUGUCAAUGAGUUGAGUAGAAAAUGGCUAGUGACUGAAGAAGGGGAGGACACCUGUGUUCCUCAGAUCACCCUGCUCAAAACAGAUCUGGCAGCUGUUGGAAUGACAGAUCUUGAUGGGAUUUUCCCAAGAAAGCUUUUCAAGGAAGUUCUGAAGGAGAAAAGACAUGGUUAGCAGGAAGGAAGAAGUGCUACCGGCAGUGGCUUGGAAAUAAGUCACAAACAAGUCACACCUGGGAUGCUGUUGGUUGGGCUGGCUGGAUACCAAGUGGGAGAUAAGGAAGGAAGGAUCCAUGGGGAACACCAACUGCUAAAGGACCCUGAUGUUACUGAGAGCUUGGAUUUGAUCUGAGGUACGUGGGGGCCACUCUACUACCAAGUCAUCACUGUUUACUGAGUACUUACUAGGCGCUAAGCAUGUUGCCACGUGCUUUAAGUAUAAGGAUUUAUCCUCACAACAACCUUGUCAGGCAGAUACCAUUAUUCGCUUUUUAUAGACCAGGAAACUGGGAUCCAAAAUUUGAGUAAUUUGCUCAAGGAUUCUAACCCCGGGGGUGUCCGCCUGCCUGAACUAUGCUAUACUGACUAGAGAAGUACAGGCAUGAGAUCUGGAGGUCUGAAGAGGGGCUGUGGUUCUAGGAAAGAAUAUAUACUAGUAAAGCAGAAGGACUGGCAGAGUUCAGACUGCUUGGGGCAUGAGCAGGAAAGAAUCACAGGACUUGAAGACUGUAAGCCUUAGGGACUGAGGCCAGAGAAGCCGCUAAUGAGGGCUAAGAUUAGCUUGCAGAUCAGCUGCACACACAGGUAACUGAAACUAAGGGCAGAACCGAGGGUUAGGAUCUCAGAAAGUGCCCACAGUGAGAUCUGGGCUGCGUGGAAAAAACUCAGGGAAAUAAGCUUAUCAAAGAGACAUGAAGAAAACUCAGCAAAAUGGGAUCACAGAGCUGGACAAAAGGUGCAGAGAGAGCCAGAGAAUAAGAGAUUGCUUUGUGUCAGCACAGGAAGAGGUCUAGCAUUGAAGGCUUCUGUAUCUGCCCCCUUCUCCCCACCCUGGUAGACCUGAUCCAUCCCACGAUCACAGCUCCCUUCCCUCCAUUACUUACCUUGAUGGGUGUCAGGUGCUGGAAGUGGCGAUGAGGGUGUGGGAUCAAGCUUGGGGGGCAGUCCCACUGGGAGGCAGAGUAAACACGGAUCUCACUCUUCUGGUCAGUGGUCAGGAGCUGGGCACCGUCGGGACUGAAAUGAGCUGGCAAAGUGAAAAGCCCCUGAGCUCAGGGAACCACGGGCCCCCUGUUGUCCUGGCCCUCACAGGCCUCUUGCAGGGGCACCCUCCCUCCCUCUCCUUUCUAGAGACAGGUGGAAGGGAGGUGAAUCUGGGCUGCGAACAAAAACAUCCUAGAGGCUCAGCAGCUGAUACGAGCAGCUAGAGUCAGAAAGGCUUCAGGACUUCAGCUUGGCCGAUGCUAUCAGGGGUAUAAAGGUUUGGCCUAGUGGCUUCUACACUUUGAGGGAAAACCCCUGAAGCGGUCGGGUCAGCAGGGUCUGCAGGAAGGACGAGGUCUGGUAUAUCACACCUGCGUUGACGGGAUGCCUGUGCAGCAGCGAGUAGAGGAAGCUGGAUUUCCCUCUAACCUGGCGCAGGUCCCAGAUUUUCACUGUUUGAUCUACGGAGGCUGUGGCCAGGAACCAAUCACAGCACGGGUUCAGGGCCACGUGGGUCACUUUCUUUUUGUGCAUUCUCAGAUUCCAAAGCUGCAGAGAAGAGCUCGGUUCAGGUGGGGGGUGCAGAACCGAGGCUGGGGGUCAGGGAGGGAAGGGGAGGACCUAGGCUCCAGAGAACGCACCUCCCUGCCGUCCAUGUUCAGCAGGAUCACGUUCCCCACGUUAUCUCCUGUGACCACCACUCGGCUUCUGACAGACACAUCCAGGCUGCAAAACCAGAAGCUGGAGGGAGAGACUGUGCUGUAAGAUUCUUGGGGACAGAGGCAAGUUCCAUUUAUUCACUGUUGCAGCUCACGUAUAUUAGACAGUCAAUAAAUAUUUGUUGAAUGAA